rnacentral:rRNA from 1 species
GACGAACGCUGGCGGCGUGCCUAAUACAUGCAAGUAGAACGCUGAAGGAGGAGCUUGCUUCUCUGGAUGAGUUGCGAACGGGUGAGUAACGCGUAGGUAACCUGCCUGGUAGCGGGGGAUAACUAUUGGAAACGAUAGCUAAUACCGCAUAAGAGUAGAUGUUGCAUGACAUUUGCUUAAAAGGUGCAAUUGCAUCACUACCAGAUGGACCUGCGUUGUAUUAGCUAGUUGGUGGGGUAACGGCUCACCAAGGCGACGAUACAUAGCCGACCUGAGAGGGUGAUCGGCCACACUGGGACUGAGACACGGCCCAGACUCCUACGGGAGGCAGCAGUAGGGAAUCUUCGGCAAUGGACGGAAGUCUGGCCGAGCAACGCCGCGUGAGGGAAGAAGGUUUUCGGAUCGUAAAGCUCUGUUGUAAGAGAAGAACGAGUGUGAGAGUGGAAAGUUCACACUGUGACGGUAUCUUACCAGAAAGGGACGGCUAACUACGUG